CAAGAUUGAGGGUAUUCUGUCAGUAAAGACCCUAGAUGGGGAAGAUGCUAUGAGAGUUUCAGUGAAGACACUAAAGUCAUUAGAAAAUUGAGCUGUCUUGUGAC